GAUGAACGCUGGCGGCGUGCCUAAUACAUGCAAGUCGAACGAACAGAUGAGGAGCUUGCUCCUCUGACGUUAGCGGCGGACGGGUGAGUAACACGUGGAUAACCUACCUAUCAUACUGGUAUAACUUCGGGACACCGGCGCUAAUACCGGAUAAUCUCUUGAACCGCAGUGUUCAAUAGUGAGAGACGGUUUUUCUGGCACUUCUCGAUGGAUCCGCGCCGCAUGAGCUGGUUGUUAAGGUAACGGCUUACCAAGGCAACCAGGCGUAUCCGACGGGAGAGACGGAUCGGCGACACGAGAACGUAGACACGGACCAGACUCCUACGGGAGGCAGCAGUAGGGAACCUGACGCAGUGGGCGAGAGCAUGACGGAGCAACGGCGAGUGAGUGACGACGGUCUUCGGAUCGUAAAGACCUGUUAUGAGGGAAGAACAAAUGUGUAAGUAACUAUGCACGUCUUGACGGUACUUAAUCAGAAAGCCACGGCUAACUACGUG
rnacentral:rRNA from 1 species